rnacentral:piRNA from 1 species
UGCUAAAGGUCUUGAUGGAGCAUGA